GACGAACGCUGGCGGCGUGCUUAACACAUGCAAGUCGAACGGUAAGGCCCUUCGGGGUACACGAGUGGCGAACGGGUGAGUAACACGUGGGUGAUCUGCCCUGCACUUCGGGAUAAGCCUGGGAAACUGGGUCUAACACCGGAUAGGACCACUGCCUGCAUGGGUGGUGGUGGAAAGCUUUUGCGGUGUGGGAUGGGCCCGCGGACUAUCAGCUUGUUGGUGGGGUGAUGGCCUACCAAGGCGACGACGGGUAGCCGGCCUGAGAGGGUGACCGGCCACACUGGGACUGAGAUACGGCCCAGACUCCUACGGGAGGCAGCAGUGGGGAAUAUUGCACAAUGGGCGCAGGCCUGAUGCAGCGACGCCGCGUGAGGGAUGACGGCCUUCGGGUUGUAAACCUCUUUCAGCACCGACGAAGCGCAAGUGACGGUAGGUGCAGAAGAAGGACCGGCCAACUACGUGCCAGCCGCCGCCGUAA
rnacentral:rRNA from 1 species